UUCUAACCUAGCGAUUUCUCUUGUAUUUAACAGCAUCACUAUGAAGCAAAGUAAAUUUAAAAAUUGACCAAUUUAGGGUUAUUUAGUUCAUUUUGCUUUUGAAUUUGUAAAAUGUUAUAAAUCUUUAUCAUUGUAAUGUUGAUGUGAUUCCCUAUAAAGGUGCAUUAUUGAUCAGUAAAAUAAUUAUAUAAUUAAUUAUAUCAAUGUUUCUAUUAUAAGAACUAUAUAUAACUGUAUAUUGGCAACAUUCACGUAUCUAAUGAAAUUAAUAGAAAUCAAUUCAUAAUAUUGAUUGAUGUAAUAGAUGCAAAAAUUGAAAACCAAUUGAUAUCGUGUCUAAAGAUAAUGAUCCUUUUCUUAUGUUGUUUAUUUCUGUCAGAUUAUGUAUUGUUGAUAUAUACUGUUGUAUUAUUAUAUAAGAACAUCACAUUUCAAGAUAGAAAGAAUUUAUAGUAAUCAUAUGGAUAUGACUAAUUUGAGAUAUAACUUCAUUAUUUGUUAUUGUCAUUUUAUGAGCACGAUCUUGAUUUAAUACUCCAAUUCAAAUGUACAUAUAUUGUUAUUAUUUGAAGAAUUUGAUAUGAUCGUAUCAUGCUCAAAGCAUCUAUAUUAGCUGAAAAUGUUGUGGUAAUCUGAUGUCAUUGGUUGUAACGAUGAUUUUGAUUGGUCCGAAUUAUUUCGUAGUAAAUUUACAUUCAGAAGAAAGAGUCCGUUAUGGUGAGUAAAAUAUAUCGAAUCACUACUUGAUAUUACUCGUAAUAUAUAACUCUUUUUCUCAAUAUCGUAUCAAGCUUGGGUGAGGCCUUAAACAUAAUUAAUACAUGUUUGUUUCAUGUAAAUAUAUUAUAAAUAACAGUAUGUCUAAUUCAUUUAAAAAUGGGUCUUUGAAAAAGAAUCUCUAGAUGAGUAAAUAAAUAUCUGCUUGAUAAAAUUAUCCUUUUUAAAAUUAAUUUAUUUAACAAUUUACAAAAUAUUCUUUUUUAAUUAUUAAGGAAAAUUGUACGCGGAGUCUGCGGUGCCGCGAAUACGUCUCAGAACGUGUGAAAUCCUGUUUUUAUAACCGAAUAGAUUUCCUAGUCCCAUCCUUGUGUCGACGAACCGCGGCGGUGAGAUACUUUUAUGCUCAGGUCAGAAGUGAACUUUCCUUUGCUGACUGUUGGAUGCUGAUAACUGACCCCCUGUCCAUUCUGCUACCCGAAUACACUCUCCAGUUACCAAUGCAUUCUUUGAAAUCACCUUCAAAGUUCAGUUUUGGAUUUGUCCCAUACACAUCAUGUGGACUAAGCGUUACCGGACAGGCAUAC